rnacentral:lncRNA from 1 species
AGGGGGAGCACUAUGAAUUUGAAAUAAAAUAACACAAACUUGAAAAAUUUCUUAGCACGAUCUAAGGGGGAGCACUAUAAUGAAUAUUUGAAAUUUCUUUAUCUAUCACUCCCUUGUAGUUAAUUAUACAAAUUGUGCAAAAUUAAGUAUUUUACCUGAUACCUUAUUUAAACUGAUUAUUCUUUUACUUGUGCUCAAUAUUUUGUCAUCAUCAAAAAAGAGAAGAUGAUUGACCUCAGGAAUGAUUUUGAUGAUGACCAAACAUUAGAGCAUAAAAAUAUACUAAUAUCUUUCAAGUUUUCUUUAAUAUUAUUUAUGUAGAGAGAAAGCACCAUUGAAAAAGAAGUAGAAGCCAAUUGAGACAAGAGUUGGAGUUAAAUUUCAUGCAAAAGACCAUUUGAAGAGGUCGAUUCGACUCAUGGCCCAAAAUGAGUCGACUCUGGCACA